AAACCAUGUUGUGGGCAUGAACUAACAAGAUCCUUGAACCGUUCCCAACAUUCGAAGAAUUUUUUAUCUUCCUUUUAGGCGAAGUUUAUGAUCAACUUUCUGAUGGU